UACGGAGGGUGCAAGCGUUAUCCGGAUUUAUUGGGUUUAAAGGGUCCGUAGGCGGACUCGUAAGUCAGUGGUGAAAUCUCACAGCUUAACUGUGAAGCUGCCAUUGAUACUGCGGGUCUUGAGUAUAAUUGAAGUAGCUGGAAUAAGUAGUGUAGCGGUGAAAUGCAUAGAUAUUACUUAGAACACCAAUUGCGAAGGCAGGUUACUAAACUAUAACUGACGCUGAUGGACGAAAGCGUGGGGAGCGAACAGG
rnacentral:rRNA from 1 species